AGAUGAUUCGGAUUGCAAACCUUUUGGAGCCUUUCCUUCUGUUGUACUCUGUUUGUACGUGGCUGAAGUUUAGUUUCGUAUUGUAUUUUGUUGUGCAGCAGCAGCAGCAGUAUAUUGUCUCUAGCCCAUUUCUCUUCUUCUGAAUUAGCAUUUGGGGUGAUUUUGUCUUGGCAAUAAAACUUUGGCUACGACCUCUCCUAUUCCAUCUUCCUGUUGAUUGAAUAUUUUUGCACCAAGUAAAGAAACCAGCAAAUGUAACCGUUGUGUCGUUGCGUGCCUAAAGAUGUUGGAUCAACGGUGCUGGUCGCUGUACAUCUUCUUGUCUCGCUAAAGCCAAAGAAGGAAAAAACAAAAUUUCUACCUGAGCACGUUAUGUCAAAUAUCUUGCCCCAUGUAGUGCCAAACAAACGAAAUCUCCCCUAUUUAAUUUUCAGAUAUGAUACUCUUUUCAGGUUGACAUCGUGCUUGGCUGGUGAUAUAUAUUCCCUUUAAUCCGCUCUCUUGUGCAACUUGAUUAGGUCCGUCCAAUUGUUAGGAUACAAGUGCAUGUUGCAAAGGUGUGGGGGUCUCUUUCAUCAAUCGAUUCCACCUUUUUCCACACAAACAGAAGGCACAUCAUUCUCUCACUCUUUUUUUUUUAUCAUGAACAAGCUGCCGCCAUCGCUCCCUUAAUGGAGCCGGCCUAUCGGGAAAUCUUUAUGCAAGUGCCCGUAACAACCAACACUCUCGACCUGUAGCCGCCGCCAUUGGACCCAUAAAUUGAUUUGAAGCGCUUGACAUCAAAUCUCAUUGUCUUGCACACAUGGCGAGAAAACCUAACAUCAUUGUCUUAAGAAGACUGCAUGAAUCUAUGUCAAAACUCCUUUGACUAUGUUUCAAUGGACGAACUUGAGGAGGAUCGGAGCCCGAAAGAUCAUCUUGAAGAUGAAGCGCCACCAUCCGCUACCUCACCGCUCCCACGAGAAAUAAUAAACUCUAACAUAAACUACUAGCCGAACCGAGGCACCAGGAGGCCGAUUGGUUCACGCCCAUGGUAGCCUUGCCGGAAUUGGUCACCCUAAUAAUUUGGCGAAAGUUUUCGCCGCCAGCGAUUUGCCAACGCGCAGGCGUACAGAGUAAACCGGCUGCUGAAAUAUUGGCGGGGAUCCGAUAGUUUGGUAUCCUCAAAACGCACGCCAAUUCUAGCAGUCAACGUCAAUUAAUUACUAUGGCAGCCCUUGACUACAAUUCAAAUGCCCCUCAGGACUCCCCACCCCUGUUGUUAGCCGCUGGAGUGGCAGGGGGAGGCGGGUCCUCGGGAGUGGAAGGGAUAGAUUGAUUUAGGAAAAAAAAAGACCUAGAGACCCUAGGGCACAUCAUUCAUCGUGUUGAAUGCUUAAUUUUGCGGAUAAAAGGAAAACACACACGCACGCACACGCACGCACUCACACGAAUACAUCAUCAUGCGGAGUGUCCCCUGCUCACAGUUAGAAUUAGGUUAGAACGUGAUAGCUAGUUGUCAAUUAGCAACUGUCAUCUCUUCGGGUGUUUGUUGGCUGUUUUUUUUUAGAAAAACUUUCGAUCAUCAAACAACAUGCCAAUAUAAAGAACACAAGAAGUAAUAAAAAAUAUUUUAUCCAUGUUCCUAGGCCACCUAGCAACAUUAUAAACACAGGAUGACUCAAUGGCGCAAUCAUCGCCCCUCCUCACGGGAGCCAUACAAAUCAUUUUUUUCAUUCUUGGUUAUAGUAGACAGUCGAAAAAUCGUUAAGCUAAGAUCCCAAAGGAACAACAACCUUUAUGGAUACAGGGAAGACAUCCCUUCCUUCCAAUCUCUUCACCUUGUGUAAGUACCAAAAUCACUUGUGAUAAUUUUACAUUAAGGAAAAUGAUGCAUAAUUCAUUUUUAUGUUCAAAUUAGUACUAUGUCGUGUUUGUUGAUUGUUGGUAAUGAGACCGCUAACCGCUCAUGCCGAUCGGUAGCAUGCUCUAUUUGCUGUAUUGCAUAUACUUACGAAAUAAAAUGAAACAUCUGCUCUCUCUCUCUCUCUCUCUCCACCAGAAUCGACCUGUUUUUUUUUUCUUACUGCUUGAACCGUUGAUCGUUCGUAACGAAGACAUGUGAUCUGAACCGUCCAAUUCAGAUCCAACAAAGAUAGGCCCACAAGGUCAGCGAGACACAAAACAGCGAAACAGCGUCGUUGCCCCGCUAGGAGGCUACACGUAUUGGGGUUCUCAGCCCGAAUUCUCAAGUUUUGGCGCCGAGGGUGGGUCAGGGGCCCGUACCCCGCAACUUGGUGCCGUACCCAUCCGAUGGACUGGCCCAUGGAGCCCCUCGUCCUGUCCUCCACAACUUUCGCUUGAAUCUCUCUCAUUCUCUCCCCCUCCCAAGUUAAUUCUCCCCAUCUUUAUGACCAGCUGCCACCAGCCUCCUCCGCUCCUCGCUCGGUUGCGUUUUGCCGGGUAGCUAGCUAGCUAGGGCCUUCACUGGGAAUGGCGGAGGAUGUGGGGAGGAGGAGGAUGCAGCAGCAGCAGCAGGAGGAUGAGCGUUUGAAGGCGGCGGCCGCGGCGGUGGAGGAGGGAGUAGGGAAGAGGAAGAGGAAGCGGGGGAGGGUGGAGUUGCGGCGGAUAGAGGACAGGACGAGCCGGCAGGUUCGCUUCUCCAAGCGGCGGAGCGGGCUCUUCAAGAAGGCCUUCGAGCUCUCCGUGCUGUGCGACGCCGAGGUUGCGCUAGUUGUCUUCUCUCCCGCCGGCCGCCUCUACGAGUUCGUCUCCUCCGACACCAGGUAUACCGUAUAUCCGUAUGUAUAUUGUAUACUAAUCUAAAUUUUCUCUAGUCGCCUAUCUUUUGUAAGUAUCCAUGUGUUUUCUGCUGUUCUUGGCAGCUAGUACUUUUUGCCUUUUAUAUUGCACCGGCGCUCUUGCAUGUUCUUGUUUCGGCCGAGCACACACAGUUUGGUCUAGAAAAUCAUUGCCGGCUGCCGCGGAUCGUGUUUACGCGCCCGAGUUCGCGAUGGUUAGUUCUCAAACUGAAGGAUCUGUGCAUAUAUAGCCCGACCAAAAAUAUGAUAUGUAGCUGCCCAUAACCACGCCGGAUUAUUUUUCUCUGAUUUUAUGUUGCAUUUCUUUGUUUCCAUGGGGAAUGAUUUAUUUCCCACAGGCGUAUCAUUGGAAUUUUGGCAAAAUUAAGCUGGGCGUCCUUCUGUCAGUCUAGUUAAAUAUUUCUCUGUAGCGCAUGGUCUUGCUACCAUGGCUAAGAGCUCAGGAGAUAGUCUGAUGGUAGGCAAGGUCCCUGACUAUAUUGAGCAGCUAUGGUACGUGAUUGUAAUCCCAACCAAGAGUAGCUUUCCACUCUUUGGUUCUCAAAAAAAAAAGAAAANNNNNNNNNNNNNNNNNNNNNNNNNNNNNNNNNNNNNNNNNNNNNNNNNNNNNNNNNNNNNNNNNNNNNNNNNNNNNNNNNNNNNNNNNNNNNNNNNNNNNNNNNNNNNNNNNNNNNNNNNNNNNNNNNNNNNNNNNNNNNNNNNNNNNNNNNNNNNNNNNNNNNNNNNNNNNNNNNNNNNNNNNNNNNNNNNNNNNNNNNNNNNNNNNNNNNNNNNNNNNNNNNNNNCUGCACGUUGCGAGUGCCUUUUUCCGUAAUAUACAUUCAGCAGCUAAAUAUGAGAUGCAGCAAUCCUGCUGUAAGACUGUUAUAAGUUACUGUUAACAGUGUACAUGUUGCCCCAGUAUACUUGUGUGCCAACCUUAAAAGAACACACACUAGUUUGAAUACAUGCAUAAUAUCACUCGUAUAUAAGUGCAAAUUAUUGCAUUUCUACCACCACUGUAUACUUUUCUACGCAGAUUAUGCCAUUCUCUUUUAUUAGCAUUAGCAUACAUAUAUAGUUCUGAUAGUGAAACUGUCCUUGAUUUAAUUUUAAAAAAAGCCCUUUUGUGAAGCUGGUGCCGAUCAAUCAUGUUCUAGUGUGAAGUUAUCGGAUCAGUUUUUUUUACUUUGUCAACAGAUACAAAGUAUUUACUACAGUAUGUUAUUACACUAGAUCCAUUUUAAAUUUCCUAUUUCUAUUUUAUUUUUUGCAGCGUUGAGCAAAUUUUUGGUCGGUGCAAGGACAUUCCCGACACGGUAAUUGAUGAUCUGAAUAUAGCAGCACGAGAUCCCAGGGGUUAUUGCAAUAUACAGGUAAGGAAUAUGUAUGUAUGUGUGUAUAUGUUAGGUUAAUUAAUUAUUCUACCAGCUUCAUAGUUAGAUUCAUGUUUGUAUUAUGUAUAUGUUAUUUUGGGUACACAUAUGAGUAAUUAAACAAGUUAUUGUUCAUGUGCUAUCUGCCAAUUGAAUUCAUGAGCCUAACUACAUAUACUCCCUCUGUUAUUAUUUACUUUGCAUAUAGGUUUGACCUAAGUCAAACUUUAUAAAGUUUGACUGAGUUUAUUGAAAACAGUAUGAACAUUUACAGUUGACAAGUAUAUAUAAUGUGAAAGUAUAUUCAAUGAUGAAUCUGAUGGUAUUGAUUUGGUAUUGUAAACUUGGUUAAAGUAUUCAAAAUUUGACUUAAGAUAAAACUUAUAUGCAGAGGGGGUACAUGUAAAUUAUCUCAAUACUGAUGCACAUGAUUCUCAAGUUGAUUACAAUAUACAUGUGAGGAAUCUUGUUGUGUGCUAAGGUUAUAGGGAGGUAGGGGAAGGGCUCUUGCCCUGGAGGGACGAUAUAAGUGUUAUUCUUCUGAUUCUAGCUUGCUUUAUUCCUCAUAGGGAGUCCUUUUUAUAUAGAGGACUAACCAUCCAAUCUAAGUAGCAAGCUGAAAGAUAUAUUUCCAGAUUAAACAAUACACUACUUAACAUAGGAAUUGGUAUCUCUUUGAUAUCAUAAUUGGGAGUUGCCAUGGUAGGGCCAUGUACUAAUGUACAUAACAUCACACCCCUACUAGAUAUGCAACUCGUCCUUAAGCUGCUAGGUGGGGCGACCAUGGUUGCAAUCUGACGAAGUCCAUUGACAAUAUGUGAUUUCACUGCACCUCAUGGCUCGAACUAGAUAGUAGCGCUUUGGCCCUGUGUUUGAAGUGGAGGCCCUCCUGGCCUAGGGGAAGACAUUGUCUUACUCUGUUCCAACACGAAUAGCCUCGUUGCUAGAAGAUGUGGAAACUCUAUUGCCCCAUCUUCAUUGGUAUAGCAUGUUGGGAAACAUAGUAGAAAAAAAAUCGCCCUACGAUCACCUAGGAAUAAUAUGAAGAUGCAUAUAAGGUUUGGAUUGACAACUUUUACCGACUCCGGAAUGCAGCGGAAGUAAACGAGUCGGUAUAGAUCGUACUUGGAGUCCCUCGAAACAUUGAUGAUGAUCCCUCGAACAGAAGACCAAAAUCACGACAUGACUAGUUGGUUGCAAGCUUACGGUCUUCACAAUCCGGCAGCGCUUUGCCGUCCAGGGCUAAUCGUCGCCGGAGAAUUAGAGGGAGGAGAUUAGAACCACACAUGGCUUCUAAUUAUGAAGAUUAGAGGUACUAGGUCUACCUCAAAUUAGAUAAACUAGAACUAGAACUAGAUGAACUAGAUGGGGCUCCGAAACUUGUAUCAUCAAAAGGGCCAAUACCUCAAGUAUAUAUAGGUUAGAGGGGGGAGACUGGCUUCCACCAAGGAGGGAAAGACCCUCCUUGGGGCGCCGACCAAGGGGGAGGAGUUGGACUCCUCAACUUCUCCCCUAGUCCAACUCGGGCCCCCCAAAAGGAAGGGGGGCACUUCCUAUUGGGCCAUGGUGGCCCAAUACUCCUUCCACCACUAGGCUUUUUAAGGCCCAUUGAUAUUAAAUGGAAUAUAAAAGCCUCUAACAAUUAUUAGAGAAUUUUAUUAUUAAAUUAACACCUCUGGAAACAUUUUCCACCUAUAUAUAUUUAUCGAUAAUAUCCGGUAUUGCCCGAUAAACUUCGAAACCCUUCUGGUGACCCCGAGGCGCUUCCUAUUCAUCUUGAAACUAUUCCGAAUAUUAAUGAAACAAUUCCACAAAUAAAUCCUCGAUACUCUCGUCCUACUAACACUCAGGAGACUGUGAUUACCUUAAGCUUGUGACCCCGUAGGUUCGGUAAAUCAUAGACAUGAACGAAAUUCCUUCAUUCAAUGAUCGAUAGCAGAACCGAGGAUAUCCAUAUCGAUCCCUAUGAUUAUACGAAUGCCAGUCGAGUGAACCUUUGGUUAUCAUGUGAUGUCCCUUUUGCUUCGCAAUACUUUACAAAACCCUAGGUGUGCCGGUAUCCUCUUGAGUCAUGCACAUGCUCAUUAUAGCGUCAUCCUCGUUACCGGUUUUGUUCUACUUUCUAGUUGAAGUGUUCCAGCAUCCCCGUGACGUAUUCACCUGUGUCUGGCCAGACGAUGAUUGAUGCCGUCACACAGAGAGGGCCCUAAGAAUAUAUUUCCAUCGUCGGAGGAGCAAAUCCCACUCUUGAGCUAUCUAGUCUCUUGUCAAACUUUCCGAUGGACCUGUAAGUUGUCGUUAUGAUCACCGUGUUACAGAUGAAGUUUGAGCAACCCUAAAGUUCACUGUAUGGUAGGAAGUGACUAUGAUACUCUCAUGGUCUAAGGAACUAAAACACAUACUAACACUUCGAGUUAUAACAAUUGAUUUCAGAUGAUAUUAUAUCAAAGUAUAACAAACAAGUUUGGGUCGAUUCAAUAUGAUCGUUCUUCUAACAUCAUACUCUCAAUGUUGUUUUUGGAUGAUCGUUACACUUAACGAUACCUAAGAUCCAAACGUGAUCAUCAACAACACCUGAGCCUGUUUUAGAGUAAAGACUAGGAACCUAUACUUACCGUUUAUCAUUCCAUGGUGCAUAUGAGUUUUCCAUUGAACCGCAGAUUCUAGGAUCAUAGCAGUUAUAUCAUAAAAUAUAAAUUCUUAAUUAUGAAAAUAGAAAUACAAUAUUAUUGCCUCCAUGGCAUAUUUCCAACAUGGCCUUGAUGCUUCACACUAAUUACUUGAAGGAAGUGUAAUGGCCUUUUAUCAAACCCAUGAUGUAUGAGGUUCCACUGCUCCUACACGGGCAGAGGCCCGCCAACAUACCAUCUCAUACUCUGAAUCAUAAACGACUCAACCCGCGCCAUGAAGUCCAUCUCAUCCUUGAGCUGCUAGUUGGUGAAGGUGACUAAGGUAUUUAAUUACCUGUUCCUUGAUUAUCUAUGAACUAUCUAAGGUGCGCAUCAUAAAAAGAGACAUGGAAGAUAAAACCAACUUGACAAUAUGAAGCUUUGCCCCCCGGAAGACAGAAAAGUUGAGGACCGUGAUGUUGGAGAACAUGCUACACAAAACAAAACAAAACUACCAUGCAUGAACCAAACGAAGAUACACUAUUGAGUUGCAAGCAUGGAAAUUAUACCCCCGAUAAUCACGUCAAAGCAACAAGAAGUUGGUGAUGUCGAUGAAGUCAUCUGAAUCUCGCAGCAAGGUUAUACGACUCAGCCACGAGUUUGUUCUCUUUGCAUAAUUUUUCCCGAUCAAACGCCAGUGUGUAUGACAUCUCCAAGGUAUCCACCCAUACACAUGUAGACCAGCAUACCAAGAGCAGUGGGAAACUACAAGAUGGAGUAGCAGCAACACACUAGCAACUAGAACUAUAUCCAAUCUAGAGGAGAGGGAGGGGAGGCGGCGCCCAACAUGAGGGGUGUGGUGGCCAGAGCGGCUUGGGGUGCCCUCCCUAUGUACCCUGCCCUCUAUUUAUAAGUGGCCAAGGUGUGAGGCGGCCAACCCUAGGGGGGUUCAUACUCCACCAGGGACUCAUUGAUGGAGUCCAACUCCACCAGGUUGCCCCCACUAGGCUGCGUUGCCCCUCAAGCAAACAGUGGGUGCAAGCAGGCAGAGGGUCUUCUUGAAUGUUCUAGAACAUUACAAAACCUUCCAAACCUUUCAGAAGCUUCGAUCAUAUUCUCUAACCUUUCAGUACUUCUCGGAACACUUUCGAAUAUCACUGGAACACUUCCAAGAUCCUUCGAAACCCUUCUCUCUCAUUCUCCAUAAAAUCAUAUCAUUCCUAAAUGUUGCUCAAUGUUAAGCAUGUGAAAUGUUCGAGCAUAUGUGGACAUGUCCGGAAAACCUUCUGGUUAAUAAUCGUCAACGGGAUCUGGUCACACAUAACAAAUCUCACAUAUCAUCGAAGAUCCUUAUCGAGCAAACCUUCUAUCAUCACAUGCAAUUCCUUUUACCUCACGGUACAUUACACAACCCGAGGCGAGACUUUGAUGUUAUCCUAUAAUCAACUCCUUGAUCAGUAUACCUAAGUAUCCUCGUUACUUGUUUGUACUAUCUUAUCUUCUCCAUAUUCUAGUAUCCUCGUGACUAACUCUUUGGCCACAAUACAUGGCCAGGCGAUGUUGGACACUGUAAUAACGAGUGGGCCUAGAGUGUAUCUUUCCAUCGCCUGAGGGGCAAGUACAAAUCUUGAAAUAUGUGGAACCAUGACAUACUUUUGAUGUAUCCGAAAGUUACCUUUACAAUUGUGAAUUACGUUUGAUGACCCCAAAGCAUAGUCUUAUUUCAAUCUUUUGCACCGUAAGUGAGAAAUCUUCAACUCUUCGCUUGGUAUCCCAAGUGGGGGAUCAAAAUAUGUCAAAGGGAAUUCUCCUUUGCAUUUGAGGGUUCUUAUUAGAGCCUCCAUUUUACCCCGUCGCACACUGAUUGGGAUCAUAAUGGUUUUUGAUAGUUAUCUUUGAGCCAAGUGUAUCCAAACAUAAGUAUGGAGAGUGUCUUUAAGAAAGACCAACUGCUUACCAUCAGCUUGCAUGACCAUAAGGGUAUCAUCCAUAUGUUGAUUUAUUGUGAAAUCAUGGCAUCUUGCAUUAGACAAAGUAGUUUGGAGCAACCCUUGCUACAUGGCCUUCUUUGCGACUAAAGAAGAUCGGUUGUUAGAACAAAAAGGAGAGGGGGAAAGGGGUCACCCAGCUUGGCUUGCAAUAAAUUUUUUCUUAGGUACAACAUUAAGCAUGAUAUAUGGAGUGCUUGAAGGUAGAAUCAUAAUGGCGUAGUUGAUCCAUUUGUCCCAAAUCCUUUUGCUCCCAAAAUUUGUAGUAUGGUAUUGUGUUCAGCUUUGUCAAAAGAUUUUUCAAUAUCUAGCUUGAGGAUUAUGAUCUCUUCUUUAUUAUUAUUUGUGGCACUAAUAUAAAUUUUUGAACCACUGCAAGCAAUCUUGGAUAGAUCUUCAUAAGGAAGCCAUACUAGUUAUUGUGCGCUUGUUUCAAGAAAAUUUUCUGUAGCCUGUUACCCAGUAGCCUCAUAAUGUUUUUAGAGAAGAGUUAAGCUGAUUGGUCUGUAAUCACUAGUGGAGACAAGAGUAAAAAUAUUGGGUGUGAAGGCAAUAAAGGAUAAGUUUGUGCCAUCUAGAGAGACUGGUCCAUCAAAGAAGUCUUAUUUGCACAAUUUGUGGUUCUUUUAUGAACCUUCAAUUAGAAUUCAUGUUUCAAACUUGAUGUAUUUGUCCUUCUCUUUUUUUAUCUCCAUUGUAUAUUUAAAUUUGAUGCAUUAGCCCGCACCAAACUUACAAGUUUACUAUUAUCUGAACUUUAAGUUAUAAAUUACCUCAUUACAUCAUACACACAGAAAGGUAAACAUCAAAUUCUGCUUUCAACUUUUCUGCCAUACAAACCUAAUAAUUAUUACUCUCUCCGAUCAGAAAAAAUUGUCGUGAUUUUAGUUCAAAUUUGACUAUUGGGAUUGAGGUCUAAGAGCUAAGGGGGGUGCGAAUAGUCCCAUUAAAGAUUUCUAAUCCAAUUUCAAUGUUGUUGGCCGUUUUUAGAACAACAUAACUAGGACUAAGCAACCUAAAAAACUUAAGAAGCAAGCUGUCAAGAGUACUAGACAACAGAAGAUUAAAACUUACAAGUAACUGGGGGACUAGGAUUAAGAGAAUGCAAAUGCUCGUGAUGCGAAUAUAUUUUUCCCAUGGUUCAGAUAGUUGGCGUAAUCCUAAAUCCACGUCGAUGGAAGCUUUGAAUCCAAGGUUCUAAGAUCACAAUGAUCCCAGAUGUGUCACCCACCAAGUGACCCAUCAAGCACAUACAACCUAUUACAUCAUGGCUUGCAUUAAGACUCCUCACUAAGAGUAGAUCUUCACCAAAUAGGUGAUCUCCGAGCCCUGUACAAACUCUUUAAUCAUUCACACCAACUAAUCAAAGGAUCUAAGUGACUCCUAACCGUCUAGGCUAUGACACCAUCCAAUAGUAACAAGAAAUCAAGGUUCUUUAUAGGAACUCCUCAAAUUAUCUUCAAGCGAAGCUCUUCCAUGAAUCAAAGUUCCUAUCUCACACAAGAAUAGGAUUGUUGUGUGAUUGUGUUGUAUGCACCCUUGUUGGGCUCCUUAGAGUAGGAGUAUGAAGUACGCAACAAGUCUUCCCUCAAUGAGAAACCAAGAUAUCAAUCCAUGGAGAUAACGAUAUAUAUCCUGCAACAGUUGAGUGCUUGCAACAAAAAUAAAACUUCACUAGUGUCCCCAAUAGUUCUAACAAGGGUUUCAACCUUGUUAGUCUUACUAGUUGCACAAGAAACUAAAAGAUAAUGUGUGAUGAAUAUUUUUCUAUUUUUGGAAUAAAACAAAACUAAAAAAUGUAACAACGUGUUUGGAUUGGGGUUCAUAGGUUCACCAAGUUUAAAUUUGCAUAAUAUAAAAGUGUGGUAAGUAAAAUAAUCAUGUGAAAAGGUGCACAAUGAAAUAUCUCAUGCUCAUGCCAGAUUAAUGAAUGUGUAAGCUCUUAUAUAGGCAAUACGCCCAAAUACUAUUAAACCGAGAUCCUCUCUGCAUCUAAUAGCUAAAUAGCCCGUCUAUAGAUGGAGAUCCUCUUCACAUCAUAUGGCUUUAAAUGUAAACAUGAGUAAUUGCAUGUAGCAAGAUGACAUAUUGUUAUGUUUAGGGGACAAUAAAUCUUGUACUAAACCUAAACCUUGGUGGCAACAAUUCAAUACAAGCCUUUUUCACUUUCUGCCACUGCGGUCGAUUACUUGCAAGAUUGAACCCAACUAUGCACACCUCUUCCACUAUUGAUUAUCGAUCUAAACUAGCCAAGAGUACACAAGCAACCAGAAAGAAAUAAUCUAUAGAUCAAACAAAAGGCAUACAAUUUCAAACAUAAAGAAAUAAUUCGUCACAUGAUCAACAUCACCACUAUGAAUACAUUAGAUAAACCAUAAUCAUUAGGGUAGCUCAUAUCGCUAUUGUAUUGAACAUCUAAAACGUCAAUGUGGAGAGAUUACAACUUUGGCUACUACCAUGAAUCCAUAUCCAGGGGGUUGACUACCCACAACUCAUCUUGGAGCGUGGUGAUGAUUGCUUCCCCCUCCAGCAAAGUUCCGGAUCAAGGCCAAAAACAAAGAUUGCCUCGAAAACGUGAUGUGGAGGUGACAAAAGAAUGAUCCAUAAUUAGGGUGAAAGUUUUAGGGUAAUUAUGGGCCAUCGUGCAUCGGAGGCCCGCCGGGAGGGUCCCACAGGUACCAGGCACCCAUGUAGGUGCCCACAACCCUAGGGCGCCUAGGCCCUAUGGGACCCUGAUGUCUACUAUGCAACCUUCUUCUUGUAGACGUUGUUGGGCCUCCAAGUGCAGAGGUUUGUAGGACAGUAGAAAAUUUCUCUCAAGUGGAUGACCUAAGGUUUAUCAAUCCAUGGGAGGCAUAUGAUGAAGAUGGUCUCUCCAAACAACCCUGCAACCAAAUAGUAAAGAGUCUCUUGUGUCCCCAACACACACAAUACAAUGGUAAAUUGUAUAGGUGCACUAGUUCGGCGAAGAGAUGGUGAUACAAGUGCAAUAUGGAUGGUAGAUAUAGGUUUUUGUAAUCUUAAAAUAUAAAAACAGCAAGGUAACUAAUGAUAAAAGUGAGCGUAAACGGUAUUGAAAUGCUAGGAAACAAGGCCUAGGGUUCAUACUUUCACUAGUGCAAGUUCUCUCAACAAUAUAACAUAAUUGGAUCAUAUAACUAUCCCUCAACAUGCAACAAAGAGUCACUCCAAAGCCACUAAUAGAAGAGAACAAACGAAGAGAUUAUGGUAGGGUACGAAACCACCUCAAAGUUAUUCUUUCUGCUCGAUCUAUUCAAGUGUCCGUAGUAAAAUAACACAAAGCUAUUCUUUUCGUUCGGUCUAUCAUAGAGUUCGUACUAGAAUAACACCUUAAGACACAAAUCAACCAAAACCCUAAUGUCAACUAGAUACUCCAUUGUCACCUCAAGUAUCCAUGGACAUGAUUAUACGAUAUGCAUCACACAAUCUCGAAUUCAUCUAUUCAACCAACACAAAGUACUUCAAAGACUGCCCCAAAGUUUCUACCAGAGAGUCAAGACGAAAACGUGUGCCAACCCCUAUGCAUAGGUUCAUGGCCGGAACCUGCAAGUUGAUCACCAAACCAUAUAUCAAGUGGAUCACGUUAUAUCCCAUUGUCACCACAGAUAAGCACGGCAAGACAUACAUCAAGUGUUCUCAAAUCCUUAAAGACUCACUCUGAUAAGAUAACUUCAAAGGGAAAACUCAAUCCAUUACAAGAGAGUAGAGGGGGAGAAACAUGAUAAGAUCCAACUAUAAUAGCAAAGCUCGCGAUACGUCAAGAUCGCAUCAGCUCAAGAACAUGAGAGAGAGAGAGAGAUCAAACACAUAGCUACUGGUACAUACCCUCAGCCCCGAGGGUGAACUACUCCCUCCUCGUCAUGGAGAGCGCCGGGAUGAUAAAGAUGGCCACCGGUGAUGGAUUCCCCCUCCGGCAGGGUGCCGGAACGGGCUCCCGAGAGGUUUUUGGUGGCUACAGAGGCUUGCGGCGGUGGAACUCCCGAUCUAUUGUUGUCUUUGAUGUUUUUAGGGUAUAUAGGAAUAUAUAGGCAAAAGAAGUCGGUCAGAGGAGCCACGAGGGGCCCACGAGGGUGGAGGGCGCACCCAGGGGGGUGGGCGCGCCCCCUGCCUCGUGGCUUCCUCGAAGCUUCCUUGACUUGCACUCCAAGUUCCCUGGAUUGCUUCCGUUCCGAAAAUAACUUUUCCGAAGGUUUUAUUCCGUUUGGACUCCGUUUGAUAUUUCUUUUCUUCGAAACACUGGAAUAGGCAAGAAAACAGCAAUAUGGGCUGGACCUCCGGUUAGUAGGUUAGUCCCAAAAAUGAUAUAAAAGUGUAAAGUAAAGCCCAUAAACAUCCAAAACUGGUAAUAUAAUAGCAUGGAACAAUCAAAAAUUAUAGAUACGUUGGAGACGUAUCAGAUCCACAUGGGGUGGGGCCAAGGCUCCAGGGUCUUCUGGUGUCUUCAAACUUCCCGAACCAUUUCAAUUUUAUUUUUUCUCACACUUUCUCUAGGGAUUUCCUAAAAUUACAAAAAAAAAAAAAACA
rnacentral:lncRNA from 1 species